rnacentral:rRNA from 1 species
GAUGAACGCUGGCGGCGUGCCUAAUACAUGCAAGUCGAGCGAACGGACGAGAAGCUUGCUUCUCUGAUGUUAGCGGCGGACGGGUGAGUAACACGUGGAUAACCUACCUAUAAGACUGGGAUAACUUCGGGAAACCGGAGCUAAUACCGGAUAAUAUUUUGAACCGCAUGGUUCAAAAGUGAAAGACGGUCUUGCUGUCACUUAUAGAUGGAUCCGCGCUGCAUUAGCUAGUUGGUAAGGUAACGGCUUACCAAGGCAACGAUGCAUAGCCGACCUGAGAGGGUGAUCGGCCACACUGGAACUGAGACACGGUCCAGACUCCUACGGGAGGCAGCAGUAGGGAAUCUUCCGCAAUGGGCGAAAGCCUGACGGAGCAACGCCGCGUGAGUGAUGAAGGUCUUCGGAUCGUAAAACUCUGUUAUUAGGGAAGAACAUAUGUGUAAGUAACUGUGCACAUCUUGACGGUACCUAAUCAGAAAGCCACGGCUAACUACGUGCCAGCAGCCGCGGUAAUACGUAGGUGGCAAGCGUUAUCCGGAAUUAUUGGGCGUAAAGCGCGCGUAGGCGGUUUUUUAAGUCUGAUGUGAAAGCCCACGGCUCAACCGUGGAGGGUCAUUGGAAACUGGAAAACUUGAGUGCAGAAGAGGAAAGUGGAAUUCCAUGUGUAGCGGUGAAAUGCGCAGAGAUAUGGAGGAACACCAGUGGCGAAGGCGACUUUCUGGUCUGUAACUGACGCUGAUGUGCGAAAGCGUGGGGAUCAAACAGGAUUAGAUACCCUGGUAGUCCACGCCGUAAACGAUGAGUGCUAAGUGUUAGGGGGUUUCCGCCCCUUAGUGCUGCAGCUAACGCAUUAAGCACUCCGCCUGGGGAGUACGACCGCAAGGUUGAAACUCAAAGGAAUUGACGGGGACCCGCACAAGCGGUGGAGCAUGUGGUUUAAUUCGAAGCAACGCGAAGAACCUUACCAAAUCUUGACAUCCUUUGACAACUCUAGAGAUAGAGCCUUCCCCUUCGGGGGACAAAGUGACAGGUGGUGCAUGGUUGUCGUCAGCUCGUGUCGUGAGAUGUUGGGUUAAGUCCCGCAACGAGCGCAACCCUUAAGCUUAGUUGCCAUCAUUAAGUUGGGCACUCUAAGUUGACUGCCGGUGACAAACCGGAGGAAGGUGGGGAUGACGCCAAAUCAUCAUGCCCCUUAUGAUUUGGGCUACACACGUGCUACAAUGGACAAUACAAAGGGCAGCGAAACCGCGAGGUCAAGCAAAUCCCAUAAAGUUGUUCUCAGUUCGGAUUGUAGUCUGCAACUCGACUACAUGAAGCUGGAAUCGCUAGUAAUCGUAGAUCAGCAUGCUACGGUGAAUACGUUCCCGGGUCU